GACGAACGCUGGCGGCGUGCUUAACACAUGCAAGUCGAGCGGUAAGGCCCUUUCGGGGGUACACGAGCGGCGAACGGGUGAGUAACACGUGGGUGACCUGCCCUCAGCUCUGGGAUAAGCCUGGGAAACUGGGUCUAAUACCGGAUAUGACUCCAUGACGCAUGUUGUGGGGUGGAAAGCCUUGUGCGGCUGAGGAUGGGCCCGCGGCCUAUCAGCUUGUUGGUGGGGUGAUGGCCUACCAAGGCGACGACGGGUAGCCGGCCUGAGAGGGCGACCGGCCACACUGGGACUGAGACACGGCCCAGACUCCUACGGGAGGCAGCAGUGGGGAAUCUUGCGCAAUGGGCGAAAGCCUGACGCAGCGACGCCGCGUGAGGGAUGAC
rnacentral:rRNA from 1 species